UACGUAGGGGGCAAGCGUUGUCCGGAAUCAUUGGGCGUAAAGCGCGUGUAGGCGGUUCGGUAAGUCUGCUGUGAAAGUCCAGGGCUCAACCCUGGGAUGCCGGUGGAUACUGUCGGGCUAGAGUGCGGAAGAGGCGAGUGGAAUUCCUGGUGUAGCGGUGAAAUGCGUAGAUAUCGCUUGGAACGCCGACGGUGAAAACAGCUCGCUGGGGGUGUGCUGACGCUGAGACACGAAAGCCAGGGGGAGCGA
rnacentral:rRNA from 1 species